rnacentral:rRNA from 1 species
UACGUAGGGGGCUAGCGUUGUCCGGAAUUACUGGGCGUAAAGCGUGCGUAGGCGGUUUGUUAAGUCCGUUGUGAAAGCCCUGGGCUCAACCUGGGAAUUGCAGUGGAUACUGGCGAGCUAGAGUGCGGUAGAGGAUGGUGGAAUUCCCGGUGUAGCGGUGAAAUGCGUAGAGAUCGGGAGGAACACCCGUGGCGAAGGCGGCCAUCUGGACCAGCACUGACGCUGAGGCACGAAAGCGUGGGGAGCAAACAGG